rnacentral:lncRNA from 1 species
AAACAAGCACGUAGGUGUUUGUCUGUGACUUGCUCCAUUCAGGCCCUCUCCCGGUGCCAGAAAAGCCCUGCUUCCAGCUGCACAAUCAGUAUUAUCACAAUGUGCUAUUUUUGGCUCCUGAGUGCAUCUCUCUUGGCGUCAUCCUUCCCACUCCAGCCCUGGUACGAAGGGCACAAACUCUUCUUUCCCCUCCCUCGUCCUCCGCUGCCGCUCCCGUCUGCGCGGUGCCGCAGAGGGGUCUCCGGACGCUUCUCCCUGGUCCUUCUCAUUUUCCUGGGCAAGAGGCUUUCCAUCCAAAGCUUCAUGCAGGAGGCUUCAUGUUGGCAUCCAGAGUACAUGUCCCAAAUAUGUCCAGCCUCACUUUCUGAUCCUAGUGGCAAGGAGCCACAGACAGAUGACAGUAGCUGUCCUCCUUCCAUUCUGAGGAAAAGGCCACCUGUGGACCAAGCUGUGGGGGAAAAGCGGAGAGCAGAGAGAAGGGUUCGAUUUCGUGAGCCAGAAGAAGUCAUUGAACAUGCAGAUGACAGGACAUCAUCUGGAUUGCCUGUGCUCCUGUGGCUCUCGUUUUGUGGAGUGCUGAUUCUUGCUGUGAGCCUCUACUACACCAGCAUGAAGCAGGAUGUCAAAGUCCUGGAGGAAUUUCAAUCCCGACUUGUCAUCUUCUUCCUUCAUAUAAGACACGUUGCUCAGAGGUGCUGGACUUGGUUUUUGAGGCAGUAG